rnacentral:tRNA from 1 species
GGAGGAAUGGCUGAGUGGUUGAAGGCGCGCGAUUCGAAAUCGUGUGGGCAGCAAUGUCUCGGGAGUUCGAAUCUCCCUUCCUCCGCCA